GUAGGUAUAGCUCAGUGGUAGAGUGGAUGCUUAACAUGAAUGAGGUCCUGGGUUCAAUCCCCAGUAUUGCU
rnacentral:tRNA from 1 species